UUGAUCUCGAAAAAUGGAAUUCAAAACCAUGAUAAUUAGAGAAGGGUUUCUUGUUAAUAGAGAGUUGAUUUCGAAGAUUACCAAAAUUCCGUUAGGUAAUGUUCGUCUACCUAGGACAAGUGAUAAACGACCAUCAUAUGAAGACAUCUCUCAUGGUGUUUGUGGUAAGAAGGUUGCUUGGAAUGAAGGAAAGUUUUCUACUAAUGUUAUUAGUGUUGCCUUGAUGGCUUUCAGAAAACUCGAUACUAAGGAAAGUUUUCUACUAAUGUUAUUAGUGUUGCGAUGUUAUAUCAAGCGUCAAGGUAUUUGGAUACUUGAUGGAAUAAUCAUUAAAACCAGGAAGAAACGCUAGCUCGCAGCCAUUGAAAUGAUGAGAUUCAAGGUGAUUUUAGAAGUUUGAAUUGAUUAAAGUCAUGGGUUGUUGUGUGAUUGAACUAUUGCUUUACAGGGAAGAAGAUGGAAUGGUUUUAGAACCAGCAGUAGUUCACAUUGAGGAUAACAGUAAAAUGUACACUACGUGUUCGGGAAAAAGCGUGACAGACCAGUCUUGAAUCAAGUUUUGCAGCUGUUUGCCAUGGAUGCUGGUGAGCUUGUACAAAGAGUCGGGGAAGGUAUAGUAACAGUGUAUUUACAUUAAAGAGACUUUUGUGCAGAUGGUGUCUAGACUUAUUUAGCUAAAUUUCAAGCAGGUAUGGUAACAAUGUAUUUACAUUAAAGAGACUACACAUAUAAAGCAGCUUCAUUUAGUGGAGGAACCUGUGAUACUUUUUGAUGAACCUUGUGCCACAGUUAAUCCAACAACCAUAGUUAAUAAUAACAAUACAAGUUUAGAUUAUCCACAAAAAAAAUACAAGAUGCAUUUGAUUGCAUAAUACUUAUUCUAACAACAAAAUAAAUUUUAGUCCGGUUGCACCCGAAUGCAUAAUGUAUAUAUUUUUGAAUUUUUUGUUAUUC